ACUAACUCCACCUUAUAUCUACAACUUCGUAUGAAAAAGUAAUUGCCUCCUAGUCUCGGGCAAUGGCAGAUUUCCCAGAUGAUGCAGAAAACUCUUUUGGUCAGGCAAUCAGAUGUGGUUAGAUCUUCCUCUAUGGAGAAGAAUUGCUUUUUAAUUUUGAGAGAGAUAAUAUGACCGAGUUAAACAUGAAUCAAGAUUCCUACUUGUCUGGCACAAACCAUCCUUAAGCUAUACUGCAGGCAGGAAACUCAUGUCUUUUGUGGACAUAAAUUUUCUUCCUGUUUGUAAAUCUCUCCAGAUGCUCUGUUUUGAUUAAAUGGAGGAUUGGGUCCUUAUAAAUUACUUGGGUUUCUAGUGAGGCAGAGGAAGAGGUUGGGAGUAACCAAUUUACUGAUCCUCUGUAGCCCUGGGCAAGGCGAAAGGAGGGUGGGGGACAAUGAGACUCAUAUGAAUUUGCCCUAAAAUAUUUGACUCUAUGGUAUUUACAUGAAAUCCUGGGUUCUCAUCUCAAACAUGGGGUGGGGGGGAAAGAAAGCCUAUUUAUGGAAAUACCCAUCAAAGCCAAUAUUGUUUUUUGUUCCUCUUGUGUUGGAAAGGACUGGAAGGUGCUUUCCAUUACUAAGAUCCCAAGCCCAGCCCUGUGUAGAUAAGGGAGAAGUUCUAAUUUUUCCAAGCACCUCAUAAGAAUGGUUUGCCUGUGCCUUUAAGUUGACUUCAAAGUUCUGCCUGGAGAAGUUCAUCUUUGGCAUCUCCUUAUGAGGACGAUGCCUCCCUUCUACGAGGAAACACAGAGUGACGUAAGUAACCCAGGAAGGAGAGCUGGGAGCGCUCACUGACCUGAGCCACCAACAACAGAUGGCCCAUCAGGAAAUCGUCAGACCCAGACCCGAUUAGAGGCUAAAUUGACCAAGUACAAAUGGGCAGUGAAGAGCAGCUCCUCCCCUGAAACGGCUGGGGCCUGGGGAGGCCCGCGAGAACAUGUGAACUCUCACCGUCAUGGCUCUGGGAAAGGCUCUAGGCGGUCAGCUGGCUGGACUCUCUUUUUAUUAUAGGUACCAAUUCAGAUCUGAGCUUUUGACCUAUUCUUUGGAAGUAGUGUAUGCUGGUAAACAUGGAUUUCAGAGUCAAACUCGAGAAGAAGCAAAUCCCAGCUAUGCUACUGCCUAGAUAUGUCAUGUUGUUAAAAUAACUUAAACCUGACUAGCCGCUCUCGUAGGAUGGGUUGUGGGAUCAACUGAAACCACAUAUGCCGAAUGGUGCAGUAUUUGGAUAGAGAUAUACGCAAUAAAUGGCUUCAACAUCACAAUAACAGAGUGUGCAUGCAUGUGCACGUGCAUCUAUAAUCCCAAAGGGCAAAGAGUUUUGUUCCCGAUUCAUUACUGAAUAGAACGUCUUCAUUCCAAAGGCAAAGGAGAAGCAGUGACAUGGGAUAGACAGCACAUUCUCAGAGACAAUUCCUACCAGUGAUCUUGGCAUAGUUCUAGGAAGCCUCCCAUCACAGAGAAAAGAAGAAGCACACAUCUUUGAGAUUAGGCCAACAGAAGUCCAAGAAGGCCCCAAAGGCUAACAUGGCUGAGGAAAACUAUGACAUCACUGGUGCAGGAAGAGAAUUUUCAUCAAGUAGAAGUCUGGGCCGUGUUACCUAGAGGACUGCCACUGGUGAGAAAGGGAUCUGUCAUGACUUUGGGGCGUAUGUUGGAAUAACUCCCUCUCUGGAGGGAGGGCUUGGAGGACUCCAUAGUUACCGAAGGGAUUCUGCUGCAUGAACUGUUUGGCCAACAGGACUGUCCCUCAUGGACCUGGGGAUGUGUCUCCUCAUCACUGGGAACUUGUCAGGGCCAUCCAGGUCACCCUGACAGGCUUCAAUACUUUUGAGUACCCACGGUAAGCAUCUAGAGUCUGGAUAGCUGUGUUCAGAAGAUUUCUGGGUUAUCUACCUCUGAGCAAUGUCCCAUUCUCCUCCAAAGCAUCUGCAAAAUCUGCAUAACAUUGUUUCUCUGGGCUGGAGGGCUGUACAACCUCCUGACUGGGUAUCCUGAUAGUAGCUGUGCUGUAGAAAGAUCUCUUUGAUCGCAACGUGCAGAGGGACUGGUGAGAAAGUAAGUGACCAGGGCAGUUGCAGUCAGGAGGGUGAGAAAAGACAAGAGCCUGGAAGAAGUGUGGAAAUGGACAGGAAGGUCCGAGAUGAGGAUUGCUAAAUAAGUGGGCCCGACAGAAUGUGGUGACUUGUCAGCUGUGGCCACAGGGGGAGGCAAGGAACGAACAGCGACUCCAUGUUCCAUCCUGGACGACUGGGCAGAUGGGGACCGUGCUAGAGCAAGGAUGAAAGUUACCCAGUAUUCUGUAAACUAAAAACAAAAUAAAACUGCAUGUUCACUGUGACUGCAGUUCUGCAAUAUCAAUGUGUCCUAUGUGAUGAAGAACUAGAAGGUAACAGGCAAAAAAAAAAAUCAAUCUUUUACGUCAGGAAAUGGCAAAAACACACACACACACACACAAAACCCCCACAAAACCCAAAAAACAAACUUCAAAAGCUCAUUUUCUUACCUCCUGUCUAAAUAUUUUUGCAUAAUAUUUUCAUGUGUAAAAGCUUAAUUUUACAAGUUUUCUCUUUCAAAAGAAACAUUUUGCCAAUCUGUUCCAUACUCCUGAAAGGAAUUUUUGAUUUAUAAGUGGCAUUAUUGCAGGGAUUAGAGAAGCUAUGAGAUCAUUCUUGCUAUUGUUUUUCCAGAAAAAGGCCCUUUACAUAUAUCUCAUAUAUGAUACCUUGCCAAUGUAUCACACAGACUUAUAUCUUUGUUUGAGAAUGUCUUUGAUAAGCCAUUAACUACAAGGAAGAAAGCGUUAGUCAAAAGAUAAGCCAUAGAUCUUGGCUAAUUCCAUAUCUGAGAUGACUGUAAUGAUGUCAAUUAUUAACACAGAUGACUUG